rnacentral:lncRNA from 1 species
ACUCAAACAACAAGAGGUUGCCUUCUGUUCAGCCUUAGUCUGAGGCUUACUGUAGGCUGUUAUGUAAUGUGGAGAUGGUUUUGCUCAGACAAACUUUAUUACCAGUACCAAUGAGCGGAACCGUGAAUUCUGAGUCACUGUAGCUGACAUCACAGAACUCCAGCUGCUCUGUGUACUGUAUCCUUUUCCACCUUUGUCCUUAAAAGCUAUUGGAGCCCAUAUUAAAAAAAAUGCUGCUGUGUACUUAGAGAGUAACUCUUACUUCGAGUGAUUCUUUUACCUGAUAAGGCAUUUGGAUAUUUAUUCCUCUAACUCGACUCCAAUCCCCCUAUCUUUUUCAUGUUUGCCCAGGUAAAGAGGAAAAUCUCCAAUCCACUCCCAUCUGUUUGCCUCAUCCAGCAGAGCUUCCAGGCCACAGAAUGCUCACGACUACAAUACAAUUCCUGAGACUGCCAAGACCUUGGGUCCGUAUAACACAUGUGCCCAGUACCCAAGGAAGUCAGAAGAGGACAUCAGAACCCCUGGACUGGCAUUGCAGACAGUCCUUUUUCAUCACCAGUGCUGGGAACUGAACCUCAGUCCUCUGAAAGAGUAGCUAGUGCUCUUAACUGCUGAGACAUCUCUCCAGCCCCCAGAAGACCACGAGAGAAUGCCUACAAGUCACAAAGUGAAAGGCAUCUCUGCUCCUGGUUUGACACUUACAGUCUAGAAAGUUUCCAUGUGUGAUGAACAGGACCUCUGUCUCCCCUUGGGAGCUUUAAGCGAGCUGUGGUAGACCACAGGAACCAAUGGAAAUACCUCAUCCUAUUUAUGCUGGAUCACAUUUCACCAUUUCUGACAGAUGCAGCCUUUGGGGAAGAAUAUUAACGACCAUGGGGGACACAGUAGUUGUUUGGAGACACCCGAAAUAAAUAGCCAAGAACUAUUUC